CAUGCAGUCGAGGGGGAUCAGUUGGGUAGCAAUACUCGGCUGUGAGACCGGCAAACGGGUGCGGAACACGUACGCAACCUUCCCGAAACUGGUGAAUAGCCCUCCGAAAGGAGGAUUAAUACACCGUAACAUAACGAGAUGGCAUCAUCUUGUUAUUAUAGCUCAGGCGGUUUUGGAUGGGCGUGCACCUGAUUAGGUAGUUGGCGGGGUAACGGCCCACCAAGCCUACGAUCAGUAACUGGUGUGAGAGCACGACCAGUCACACGGGCACUGAGACACGGGCCCGACUCCUACGGGAGGCAGCAGUAAGGAAUAUUGGUCAAUGGACGAAAGUCUGAACCAGCCAUGCCGCGUGAAGGAUGACGGCCCUCUGGGUUGUAAACUUCUUUUAUCUGGGACGAAAAAAGGGAAUUCUUUCUCACUUGACGGUACCAGAGGAAUAAGCACCGGCUAACUCCGUGCCAGCAGCCGCGGUAAUACGGAGGGUGCAAGCGUUAUCCGGAUUUACUGGGUUUAAAGGGUGCGUAGGUGGGUCUGUAAGUCAGUGGUGAAAUCUUCGAGCUUAACUCGGAAACUGCCAUUGAUACUAUAGAUCUUGAAUCAUCUGGAGGUGAGCGGAAUAUGUCAUGUAGCGGUGAAAUGCUUAGAUAUGACAUAGAACACCGAUUGCGAAGGCAGCUCACUACGGAUGUAUUGACAC
rnacentral:rRNA from 1 species